rnacentral:tRNA from 1 species
AGGACCGUAGCGCAGAGGUCGUCGCGCCUUGGCUGCGAGCUGGAGGACGCCGGUUCGAAUCCGGUCGGUCCUG